rnacentral:lncRNA from 1 species
CUGAUUCUUGUCCCUCCUGAACACACAAGCGAGCAAGAGGAUAACAUGCUUAAUGAAAAGCCCUGCAGCCAACCUCUGCUUCACAGCUUUUGCUGCCCAAUCUGUCACGACAGUCACAAAAACGUGUCAGACUGUCACAAUAAGGAGCCCUGGUUUAGGAUGUUGUUUUGUUUGGCCUACAUAUAAAAUAGUUUUUGGUACAUUUUUGUAUGAAAGUAUAACUAAAAUAUAGCAAAAACGUGCCCAAAGAGGGAACAAUUACUAUAGCAGUUUAAUUUGAAUGGAGUGUGGUUUUCCAUUUGUUGGUUUUGGUUUCUUGGGCUGACUGUAAAUUGUCACAGUUGAUUCCAUUGGGGAAUGCUAAGCAAAUAAAUAUUGGUUAGGAUAUCAUUGUCUUAAAGCCAGUCAACAAGGAAGGCGAAGAUUUAAUUUGCUUAUUCAAUUGAUUUAACUGUAGAUUGCUACUCUUUUGAAGUUAAGCUCACGCAGUCUAGACAUUAGUCCAUUUUUCAUUAAGUAUUCCUCUUCUGUCUGAUUUUCCACACAUGCCUGUCAUGUUUCCCUUUCUCCUUUCUUUACAGCCUGCAGUUCUCUCGAAGCGGAGAUGAUUGUUUGCUUCCAGUUUUCUCUCCUCCUCCAGACACUGGUGGACCUACAAGAGGACGUGGGAUGCAACAGUUUAUCAAAAUCUGAAGCUCUAUACCAGAAGCACACAAACAGAAAAGGAAAAAUAUAUGGCAACACCACAGACUGCUUGCAACAUUUCUGCAGUUUCAGUUCAACUUGUAGCAGCAGCCGAAGUAUUCAACAGACCAGAAAGCUUUGCUUGUGAAGCCCAUUUUUAGUGCAUGCCUAAAUCAGGAGAAUGCAUUUAAGAAGACUGAUGGAACUCCCCAAAAAUCUUUCACACACAGCAUGAAACCAUUCAAAUAUCACCCCAUUCUCCCAAACUCCAGACCAACUGGCAGCCAGACUGGAAAUGUGAAAUUGCAUAAAAUGUCUGAGCUGAUCAAGC